GUGCUCAAAGUUCUCUAGGGACCUCUAAGGGCUGAAAAAUUCUCCCUAUCACAGUUGCUGUGGGAUAGAGCACAUACAGCGUGAAAGAAAUAGAGUGAAAGGUCCUGGCAAGACGCCCAUCCUACUUCUCGGAUAAACGCCUUGGCUCUACUAAGAGGUAACAAAGAAGAAGAGCAGGUUUCAGAAGGUAUGAAAGGAAGCUGCAAAGAAUUGUGGACUUACUGAUAAUGGAUUUCCUACAUUCAGUAGUGUCAACAUCUUUGUUCAGAAUGUACUAUGAAAUAUAGGACAGAAUAAGACCUUCACAGAGGCAGACGACAUAUUAUCUGCAAGUUGAGAGUCAGAGGUUGAUGACUGCUGGAAUCAAGCGCUGGUUCUACAGAUCACAGAUCAAUAGGUAGGAUGGAUUCUACCUUUUAGUUCAGAUGUGGAUUCAUUGCUAUUUUCAAUUUCUGUUAAGCUAAUGUAAGUUGAAAAUUCUCUGAAGUACAAUGCAUUGUGCAGAAUUAAACUUCAAACCCUUCCUGAGGACAUUGAAGUAACCUGCUACCAUAACUAUGCAUUAUUCACCAUGAUACUCUCUAUGAAACAAAAAUAUUCCCACUUUUAAUGUUGGUCUUUGUAGAGUUUUUUCUGAAAGUGGAGAUCGGAUAAUGAGACAGUUUAGCUGGCCAGUGCCUUGACAUGUUUCAUUUAUGGCUUGAUUAGACCAUGAUUUAAUGAGAUACUGUACUACAUGAAAGCACAUCAUCUUCAGUCAUUGAACACUGACUGCAGUCUGAAUGUUUCAUUUUGGCAGUGUCUCUGCACUUUUGAAAUAAUAAUAAAUAAAUAAAUAAAUAAAUAAAUAAAUAAAAACAACAACCAAACAGCACUAAAGCAUAAUUUAAGUAGAAAGUUUCAUUCCAACUGCAGUAGGCAAUUACAAAGAAAAUCAUUCUGAGACUGCCCACUUCUUUGCUUCUCUUUUCAGUCCUAUAGACUAUGCGUUAGUGCAUCUGAGGUUUUAUUAUAUUGCAUAGAAUGUGUUUAGAAUUUAAGAUAUGUAAAGGAAAAGCAGACAAAAGGACAAUCUCAUGUUUCCAUUCAACUUCCCUGUGUGUAUUAUUUCAGAGACUCAAAAAGGUGAUCCAUUGUCUAGAUUUUGUGACUGCUGAAUCUCUUUGUUACAGGGUGUCUCAGGAUAACAUUGAAUUUUUUGAUAUUCUUAUUUGCUCAGCUUCCAGCGGAGGGGCAGCUCUUGAGCACUGACAUGUGCCAGUGUUUUUUCUCUGAUGAAUGGCUUCUAAACAUCCAAAGCUUCACUAAAUGGUACUGUAGACUGAAUAAUCCCAGAAUUGUAAAUGAUCUGAGGUACUGCUGCAGUGUUUCAGGUUCACCUCCAUUUGCAGUCUUUUUGCACUGAAUGGAUUUCAGUUGAAGAUAGUGGUCCAAAGAACCAAGGCAAUCUUACUGGUGGAUUUUCUAAUAUGUAGUUCUCAUAUACGUUCUCACUUGGGAACAAAGCGUGAUGACAUAUGGAAAGGCUCACAUCUAUUUCUUGGCUUUCGGUUAAUUGUUUAAACUGAAACAAGAGUCUGAAGAAAAAAAAAAAGACAUUAAGAAUAAAUUAUGUCAUGCUGAGAUGAGGCUAAUUAUUUAACAUCUGGCAAAAGCAGAUAGAUUCUCAGUUAACACAGUAGAAUCCAUUCAGUCAGCACCUUGAUAAGCACCAUGUCUCUUUCACUGGCUCAGAUUCCUUCCUGGAGUUCCUGUGUAUGUGCUUUCCAGUUCCUCUGAAGACUGGCUAGGCUGCCCAUCAAGUCUGUUUAAAAUGAUUGUCUUCCAUUGCCUGCAAGGCUUUGGUAAUUUACAAGUGUGAAUGAUGUACAUCUGCAGACAGUUUCUUACUGUGUGGUCCACUUGUCCUGCAAUUUAACAUCUUACUGAGUAGCUUGAGUAGGUUCAGUGUUGUGUGUCUGUAUCCUGGGAUGGCAGUUCUCAAAGGUAUUUUUGCUGAGAUGUGGCCACUGCACAUGAACACAACUCCUGUGUGCUGGAGUUUGGGAGAACAUGAUUUGCCAUUGUGGCCAUACAUGGUGUUCUUGGUGUCCACGCACACACUUGCAAUUUGCUGGCAUGUGAUGUAGUCUUCCUAGUAGGAAUCCACAGUUAGUUCUCCUUAUGUUACCACAGGGUUCAACUAUAUUUAAUGCUGAAGGAGACAUUUUCGGCUUAAUGUUAGGGAAACAUGGCCAUCUUGAACCUCUUUCAAGAGGAAAUCCCUAGGAUCACGUUUGAAGCUCUUAAAGGUUAUUCCCAAAGAAGCACUUUCAAAUUAUAAUAACUAAUUAUUCAUAUUUGUAUGGUCCCCCUGGUUCCCAGUAUAUCUGUACAGGUCUUUCCAUGGCCUUCAUCUUUUCAGUGACCUUUUUUUCACUUGUCAUUUGAGUUAGCAGGAACAUUGUAAGAUUAUUCUGUAUUAGCAGAAAAAUCUCCAGUCCUGCUUUAUUUCACAUUCAUAAAGGAGAAAAAGGCAGAAAUGAGAAUUUCAGGUAUACUAAAACUCUCAAUGAGCAAAGAACAAAUAUGAAAUAUUCUUGAAGAAGAAAGAAUUCAUUUAUUUUUACACCUCUCUCAAGAGCGUGAGCAUCUCUGCCUGCCUGUGAUUGAAGGGCAAAGCAGUACCAGCACUGCUGUCAUGCCCAAUACUUAGAGCCAAAUGUAGGAGAAACACCUUUACUAAUCUCUCAUAUUUGUUGUCCACUGGAUUAAAAUUCUCCAGUAUUUCUGUUUGGAAGUGUUGACAUUUCACUGCACCUGCAGGUCAGUGCCACAGGGCUGCAGAGUUUCAGGGAAGUGUGAGUGUUAGCUGUUACACUCAGAAAACCCCACUCUGCUCUCAUUUUAAAAGGGUAUAAAUCAGAGGUCAUUGCACUGUAACCAGCAGAUUUUCUGCAGUCAGUGUGAAAUCAUCAACCGAUUCAACAACUUCACGUCUCAGAGUCUGGAGAUACUCAGGCUUGAUGCUUCAGAUCCUAGCCAAGGCACGUCUUGUGUGUUUCCUACUUAACUAACACUUGCACAAUUGAUGGCCAAACAUUCUUUCUGGAGCAUUUACCAUUUCCAAAUAUAUUUAUCUUUCAAGUAAAUAAAUUUUGUGUUAAUUAGUGACAGCUCACUGCUAAAAUAUUCACUUCAUUCUUUUAUCACUCUGUGGCAGAGUUCUGCGUGCCCUGCCAGCUGUCCUUCACAGCAGGUCUUAAAAGUUUGAAGCCUUAUUUGGUGUCUGCAGUGACCUUUCAAAUUCCAGAAUGUAGUUGGGGCUACACAACUCACAAAUAUAACACUUGUUAAUAAAAUGUCAGUGUUGUUGCAGUCAGGCUUACGUCAAUCUUUCAAACUGCAUUUUCAGUCAUCCUGAUAGCUCAGAAUUGUGUACAUCUGGUGGCAGAGUUGCAAGAGGGGCAAAACAUUCAAAAAAGCACCCUUCUGUUCCAUCCGUAUAACCAGUUCACAACUCUACCCCCUGGGGAAAAAUCAUUUCCCCCGUUUACAUUCCAACAAACAGUUGGUUUCUUCAUUGCUUAGGUGACCUCAAGUAAACCCAGAAAUGCCAGUUUUUAAAGACUAAAAUAUUGCCUAAACCUUCAAUCCCAUAACUAAUAGCAAUAGGAAAAAAAAAAAAAAAAAAAAAAAAAAAAAAAGCAGAAUGGCUAGCAGAUGUUUCCUAAAGAAGAUAUAAACAAGGAAAACGAGCAGUCAGAUUUUCCUUUAACUUUAUAGUGCAGUUUACAAGUUCAUUAAACAGGACUUCUGUGCAGGUCAGCCCUUGCUGAGGGAUUGUUUAAGUUGAAGAAUUCUUGAUUUCCUGCUCAACUGACUCACUUGAUAAGAUGCUUCAUAAUGACAUCAGCAGCAGUUGAAUAGUUAAAAUGUUUGGAUUGUAUGAACCCCUGUAGUUUAGAUGGUUCUUGACCUUCUCUGUGUAAGUAAUGAU